rnacentral:lncRNA from 1 species
ACUAUUUUAAGAUGUUUUCCUAUGGAUGAAUUUCUUCAUCAGAAUAUACAUGUAGUCAGGGAGCCCACUCCCUACCCAUUGCCAACAAUAACCCUUACUGCUCACAAACACACAUGAACUCCAUGACACAAGCAAGUGCCACAAAGAAUGGAGAUAUUUGUUCCUCUUUAUGAAGAACUAUAGGGCAGAAAUAGUGAGCUGUGGAGACAUUGUCAACUUAUCUUAGGCAGUUUCAAUGAGCAAGUCCCUCACUAUGUUUUUUUUUUUUUUUUUUAAUAGUCAUUCCAAAUAUCGUGAGAUGCAUUGUUACAGGAAGUCCCUUGCCUUCCCAAAAGCCACUCCAUUUCUCUCUGAGAAGGGGCAGUUCUUACCCAAGUCCACACAGGAGAGUGAUAAAAUUGCUUUUGUGUAAAUUAUGUAGUCCAAAUUUUUUUUUUUUAAUCUUCACCUUAAAAACUGUUCUUUCUGUUCUAUUUUGAAUGGUCUGCCAUCAUGGCUUCCCCCUUUUUUGUCCCCUCCAAUUUAAGAUUCAUGAAGGCGUUUUGGUUUCCUUGGGAGUGGAGUUGAGGCACGAGGCAGCCAGGCGCUUCCCUGUACACUGACAAGACCAGUUCGAAAAAGUGUGCACACCUUAAAUAAAUAAAUAAAUAAAUAAAAUGUUGAACUCAUUUUAAUUCACAUGCUCUUCUUAGAAAUUUACUU